rnacentral:tRNA from 1 species
GUGGAUGUAGCUCAGCAGGUUAGAGCGCUGGAUUGUGGUUCCAGAGGUCGCCGGUUCGAGUCCGGUCUUCCACCCA